GUCAUCUUUACCACUUCAACACUUAGCAAAUAAAACCAAAAGUUGAAGAGCUUCAACAAGAAGCUCACGGCCAAGACUAAGAAAAAUCAACUCCAUUUCAAGCCAUCCCAAAAUUAUUUCUUUGUUGUAAACCCACUAUUUUGAGGUCCCUAAGUAGCGUGGAAGCAUCGUUGGAGCGAUCAAACCAUCAUUUUUCAUCUUUUGGAAACCCUAGGCUAUUGGAAAGUUGAAGAAGAAAGAUCGUGGGCAGCCCGAAUCAUAGGUUGGAUUUAGCUUGAGUUUGGAUCGUAUUGGAGAGCGUUUGAGGUACAGACGCACAGCUUGGUGAUCCACCUGUUUAGGACACCCCCUUCUGCUAUUCGGAGUGCUCCUCUCAUCCCGGAGCUUAUAUUUUUGGUAUAUAUACUUGUUAGUACAUUUAUACAUAUUCG